rnacentral:rRNA from 1 species
GGGACACGUGGUAUCCUGUCUGAAUAUGGGGGGACCAUCCUCCAAGGCUAAAUACUCCUGACUGACCGAUAGUGAACCAGUACCGUGAGGGAAAGGCGAAAAGAACCCCGGCGAGGGGAGUGAAAAAGAACCUGAAACCGUGUACGUACAAGCAGUGGGAGCCUCUUAAUGGGGUGACUGCGUACCUUUUGUAUAAUGGGUCAGCGACUUAUAUUCUGUAGCAAGGUUAACCGAAUAGGGGAGCCGAAGGGAAACCGAGUCUUAACUGGGCGUUAAGUUGCAGGGUAUAGACCCGAAACCCGGUGAUCUAGCCAUGGGCAGGUUGAAGGUUGGGUAACACUAACUGGAGGACCGAACCGACUAAUGUUGAAAAAUUAGCGGAUGACUUGUGGCUGGGGGUGAAAGGCCAAUCAAACCGGGAGAUAGCUGGUUCUCCCCGAAAGCUAUUUAGGUAGCGCCUCGUGAAUUCAUCUCCGGGGGUAGAGCACUGUUUCGGCAAGGGGGUCAUCCCGACUUACCAACCCGAUGCAAACUGCGAAUACCGGAGAAUGUUAUCACGGGAGACACACGGCGGGUGCUAACGUCCGUCGUGAAGAGGGAAACAACCCAGACCGCCAGCUAAGGUCCCAAAGUCAUGGUUAAGUGGGAAACGAUGUGGGAAGGCCCAGACAGCCAGGAUGUUGGCUUAGAAGCAGCCAUCAUUUAAAGAAAGCGUAAUAGCUCACUGGUCGAGUCGGCCUGCGCGGAAGAUGUAACGGGGCUAAACCAUGCACCGAAGCUGCGGCAGCGACACUAUGUGUUGUUGGGUAGGGGAGCGUUCUGUAAGCCUGUGAAGGUGGCCUGUGAGGGUUGCUGGAGGUAUCAGAAGUGCGAAUGCUGACAUAAGUAACGAUAAAGCGGGUGAAAAGCCCGCUCGCCGGAAGACCAAGGGUUCCUGUCCAACGUUAAUCGGGGCAGGGUGAGUCGACCCCUAAGGCGAGGCCGAAAGGCGUAGUCGAUGGGAAACAGGUUAAUAUUCCUGUACUUGGUGUUACUGCGAAGGGGGGACGGAGAAGGCUAUGUUGGCCGGGCGACGGUUGUCCCGGUUUAAGCGUGUAGGCUGGUUUUCCAGGCAAAUCCGGAAAACCAAGGCUGAGGCGUGAUGAC